rnacentral:tRNA from 1 species
AGGGGUAUAGCUCAGUGGUGGAGCGUGUGCGUAGCAUGCACGAGGUCCUGGGUUCAAUCCGCAGUACCUCCA